UCCUAAAAAGUAUCAAUGAUGAUGUAGUCAUCCCUAUAAAAUAGUAGUAACCAUACAUACCUAUCCUUCCUCCCCUAAAAAGUAGCAAUUAUGAUUCGCCAACAUGAGUUCCAAAUUUAUAUGCACAAGUAAAAAAUGAAUAAAAAGUUGCUUACAAAAAAAAAUAAGAAGGGGUUUAGUUGCUUAAUUAGUGUGUUUCUAAUUGGAAGAUCCCUAAUCUCCCAAACCAACAAAACAAACCCCCAAUAGCUACAUCAUGGAAAAACCACUUUUAACUUUCAUUGUUAACACAUGGAAUUAAGGAUCAUAAUGUGAGAGAUAGAAGAAGAGAAACUAACUCUUAUAACACAGAUGAUUAAAACUUUCAAGCUAAUCCAUCCUUUAUCUGCAAAAAACACAAUCUCAGCAAAUAUUAGAAAAUAAAUCAUUAAAUAAUCUAGAAAUUUCAAAUUUUACAAUCCAUAUCUAUCCUUUUCAUUCUAUUGGAAAUACAUUUUCCACUAUCAAGUGUUAGAUGCAUCCUUUUGUUAAAAUAAA
rnacentral:lncRNA from 1 species